GCACAAGCAGCGGAGCGUGUGGUUUAAUUCGAGGCAACACGAAGAACCUUACCUGGGCUUGACAUGUUCGUGGUAGUGAAGCGAAAGCGGAUCGACCCUUCGGGGAGCGUUCACAGGUGCUGCAUGGCUGUCGUCAGCUCGUGCCGUGAGGUGUUCGGUUAAGUCCGGUAACGAGCGCAACCCUUGCUGUUAGUUACAAGUGUCUAACGGGACUGCCGGUUUAAUACCGGAGGAAGGUGGGGAUGACGUCAAGUCAGCAUGGCCUCUAUGUCCAGGGCUACACACACGCUACAAUGGCCGGUACAGUGGGUUGCCAAACCGCGAGGUGGAGCUAAUCCUCAAAGCCGGUCUCAGUUCGGAUUGUAGGCUGCAACUCGCCUGCAUGAAGUCGGAGUUGCUAGUAACCGCGCGUCAGCUAUAGCGCGGUGAAUACGUUCCCGGGCCUU
rnacentral:rRNA from 1 species